rnacentral:rRNA from 1 species
UACGGGGGGGGCAAGCGUUGUUCGGAAUUACUGGGCGUAAAGGGUCUGUAGGUGGCCAACUAAGUCAGACGUGAAAUCCCUCAGCUUAACUGGGGAACUGCGUCUGAUACUGGUUGGCUUGAGUGCAGGAGAGGAAUGCGGAAUUCCAGGUGUAGCGGUGAAAUGCGUAGAGAUCAGGAAGAACAUCGGUGGCGAAGGCGCUCUGCUGGACCAUAACUGACACUCAGGGACGAAAGCUAGGGGAGCGAAUGGG